ensembl:lncRNA
GGGAGACGCACGCGGAAAUUUGUAAGUGUUAAACUUUUUUUGUUUUCGUUGGGUUGCCGUGGAGGAGGAAAGUCAUUUUUAAGAGUGACUGCAGCUGUGGAUUCUCGUUGAGAGAUUGGGACGGGCUGUGCAUACCAGUUCAAUUGGGUACAGGUGUUUGUAACUGGGUGGUGAGAGUGGGUGAGUACCUACUGAGCAAACGCAAACCCCUGCGCAGGUUAAGAGCGCUUACCGCUGUUUGUUGUUUUGGCCGGGCUGGUAAAGAGUUUGUUGUUUUUCGUGGGUGUGUCCAGGGGCGGUUUUAGGCACGGGCGACCCGGGCAGCCGCCCGGGGCGGCACUUUUUCAUAAGACGUGGGGGGCGGCAAGAGCACUUAAAAAAAAAAAAUCAUCUGGGCCACGAAGCGGUUUUCUAUUAUCUAUCAUAUCACUGUGUGUGGAAUUGGCAAAUUGGCGCCCCCUGCAGCUGCAGGCGCCUCUGCUCGCUAAGAAGGUGCCGUGGACAGAUCCUGAGGCAAGGUGAAUUGGUGGAAGGACAUCACUGACUGCUUCAACUUAUCUCAAGAUAAUUAUUGAAGGAUGCUCAAGUGGACAAGUUACUGGAAAUGAAAUGAACGUUGCCGUAAAGGGCUGUACCACCAGAAAUGUCUGCUCUGGAGCGUUUUCACAGGUGCUGGAGCCGUCGACUGUUGGAAUUACCAUCUGUGCAACAGUGCCUGGAGUGCUACACACAGUG